GAUGAACGCUGGCGGCGUGCUUAACACAUGCAAGUCGAACGGUAAGGCCCUUCGGGGUACACGAGUGGCGAACGGGUGAGUAACACGUGGGUGAUCUGCCCUGCACUUCGGGAUAAGCCUGGGAAACUGGGUCUAAUACCGGAUAGGACCCUGGGAUGCAUGUCCUGGGGUGGAAAGCUUUUGCGGUGUGGGAUGGGCCCGCGGCCUAUCAGCUUGUUGGUGGGGUGAUGGCCUACCAGGGCGACGACGGGUAGCCGGCCUGAGAGGGUGACCGGCCACACUGGGACUGAGAUACGGCCCAGACUCCUACGGGAGGCAGCAGUGGGGAAUAUUGCACAAUGGGCGCAAGCCUGAUGCAGCGACGCCGCGUGAGGGAUGAAGGUCUUCGGAUUGUAAACCUCUUUCAGUAGGGACGAAGCGAAAGUGACGGUACCUAAAGAAGAAGCACCGGCUAACUACGUGCCAGCCGCCGCCGUAA
rnacentral:rRNA from 1 species